rnacentral:rRNA from 1 species
CCUACGGGUGGCAGCAGUGGGGAAUCUUGCACAAUGGGGGAAACCCUGAUGCAGCGACGCCGCGUGAGUGAAGAAGUUUUUCGGAUCGUAAAGCUCUAUCAGCAGGGAAGAAAAUGACGGUACCUGACUAUGCAGCCUCCGCUAACUACGUGCCAGCAGCCGAGGUAAUACGUCGGGGGCACGCGUUAUCCGGAUUUACUGGGUGUAACGGGAUCGUAGACGGCAGCACAAGUCUGGAGUGAAAUGCCGGGGCUUAACCGCGGUACUGCUUUGGAAACUGUGCAACUAGAGUGCAGGAGAGGUAAGUGGAAUUCCAAGUGUAGCGGUGAAAUGCGUAGAUAUAAGGAGGAACACCAGUGGCGAAGGCGGCUUACUGGACUGUAACUGACGUUGAGGUUCGAAAGCGUGGGGAGCAAACAGGAUUAGAUACCCGUGUAGUC